AUUGAACGCUGGCGGCAGGCUUAACACAUGCAAGUCGAGCGGAUGAGGGGAGCUUGCUCCUGGAUUCAGCGGCGGACAGGUGAGUAAUGCCUAGGAAUCUGCCUGGUAGUGGUUGAUAACGUCCGGAAACGGGCGCUAAUACCGCAGACUUCCUGAGGGAGAUAGUUGGGGGGCUUCGGACCUCACGCUAGCAGGUGAGCCUAGGUCGGAUUAGUUAGUUUGUGGGGUAAAGGCCUACCAAGGCGACGAUCCGUAACUGGUCUGAGAGGAUGGUAAGUCACACGAGAAGUGAGACACGGUCCAGACUACUGAGGUACGCCGCAGUGGGGAAUAUUGGACAGUGGGGGAAAGCAUGAUCCAGCCGUGCCGCGUGUGUGGAGAAGGUCUUCGGAUUGGAAAGCAGUUUAAGUUGGGAGGAAGCGCAGUAAGUUAAUACCUUGCUGGUUUGACGUUACCAACAGAAUAAGCACCGGCUAACUUCGUG
rnacentral:rRNA from 1 species